AUACGUAGGGAGCGAGCGUUGUCCGGAAUUACUGGGCGUAAAGGGCGCGUAGGCGGCGCUUCAAGUCGUCUGUCAAAUGGGAGGGCUUAACCCUUUUUCGCAGACGAAACUGGGGAGCUUGAGAAGCAGAGAGGCAAACAGAAUUCCUGGUGUAGCGGUGAAAUGCGUAGAUAUCAGGAAGAAUACCAGUGGCGAAGGCGGUUUGCUGGCUGCAUACUGACGCUGAAGCGCGAAAGCCAGGGGAGCAAACGGGAUUAGAUACCCCGGUAGUCCUGGCAGUAAACGAUGUAUGCUGGGUGUGAGACUAGCGAUAGUUUCGUGCCGAAGUUAACGCGAUAAGCAUACCGCCUGGGGAGUACGGUCGCAAGAUUGAAACUCAAAUGAAUUGACGGGG
rnacentral:rRNA from 1 species